rnacentral:tRNA from 1 species
AGGAUUAAAGUUUUUUAAACAUUUAACUUGCAAUUAAAAAUAACAACAAUGUUGUUGAUCUGAUGUACCCAAA